UACACACCGCCCGUCACACCAUGGGAGUGGGGUUCACCACGAAGCCAGGUUUGCCUAACCCGUCAACGGGGGGGCGCCCCUUACCUACGGUGAGCUUCAUGUACUGGGUCGG
rnacentral:rRNA from 1 species